CUGGCAGCAACACUCAUUUACACAAGAACAGAAGCUGAACUUGAAGACAGAAAGAUGCCUAUGCUCCAAGGCAGAGUCACAGUCCAAACUAUAGGAAAGCCAUCAUUCUGAUUCAUCAAGUCACAAAGCAAUGGGAGUUACAAAAAUCAGCAGAUGCCUUGCUAAGUUAGUAAAGAAAAGAAAGAAAAGAAAAUUUGGUUAUCUCUCCUAGCCUACAGAACCUUGGCUGGGACAAAUAAAGCACCAAGAAAAUGUUGUAUUCUGGGAGCAAUCAUCUGUAGACUUCUGAAAUGGAUCAAAGGAUUCCUGGCACACAGUAAGACUAUCACAGGAGAGGAGGGGCUUAGGAGUCUAUGGAAAGGAACUUCACCCAAUGCUGCUUUCAAUGCUAUUGUCACCUGUGAUGAGCUGGUGACCUACUACUUCUUCAAAGAUGCCAUCCUGAAGGCCUACCUCAUGACUGAUGACCUAUGCCACUUCAUAUCAGCCUUUGGAGCUGGCUUCCACACCAUCAUCAUUGCCUCCCUUAUGGAUGUGGUCAAGACAAGAUAUAUGAACUCCACAAUGAACCAGUAAGCUAGUGCUGUCUCCUUAUACCCUUACCAUGCUUUGGAGGAAGAGAUCCCAAGCCUUCCACAAAGGGUUCAUUCCUUUCUCCUCUGCUUGGGCUCCUGGAAUGUAGUUGUUUGUCACCCAUGAGCAACUAAAAUGGAUCUUGAUGACAGUUCAUGCUUCUUGGGCAGCUCCUUUCUGAGCUCUCUCCUGCCAACUUUUUGCCUUAUACUCCAGCUUUCCAUGCGAGUCGAGGCCCCAUCCUGCCCCCAUUCCAUCCUACUUUUUCCUUUUUCCUCUCUUCCCCUACUUCCCUCUGAAAGAUAAACCUCCCUUUCCCUUUUCAGAGUUCAUCCCAUUUAAUCCUUCUCUCGCCCCACUUCCUCUGCCAUUUCAGCUUCACCCAGUUUUCAAGUGCCUUACAUUUAAUAAAGCUAGACAUUUAAUAAA